rnacentral:lncRNA from 1 species
CCCGAAUGUUGAUGCAAAUAUUAUAUGUUAAACAUGUCAAAGUCUGCCACUUAAUUGAUUAGGAAAUUUUUAUACUGACAAAUUAAAUACAAAUGUUUACUCUACCUCUUGCUCUGUUUUGUCUCUGAAGCAUAAACAUGAUGCACGACGACGGAAGCCUUCGGCAUCGUAUGUCCUUAUUGAAUUAGGCUUUUCUUUCAUGGCAAUCUAAAUUUGAUAGCUAAAUGAAACGCUUAUAAAUAUUUCAAUUAUUAGAUAAGUUUUCAAAAUGUUAUUUCAAUGUCAUGUUUUGACAUUCAUCUUCUAAAGAAAACUGAACAUGGAUACAUGCUUCACAACUUAAAUUUCCCACAAUGCACCUUCCCUUUAUUUACAUUUUUUCAACUUUAAGAUCCUCCCAAAAAGAUAGGAGAAC